rnacentral:rRNA from 1 species
UACGGGGGGGGCAAGCGUUGUUCGGAAUUACUGGGCGUAAAGGGCUCGUAGGCGGCCAACUAAGUCAGACGUGAAAUCCCUCGGCUUAACCGGGGAACUGCGUCUGAUACUGGAUGGCUAGAGGUUGGGAGAGGGAUGCGGAAUUCCAGGUGUAGCGGUGAAAUGCGUAGAUAUCUGGAGGAACACCGGUGGCGAAGGCGGCAUCCUGGACCGGCAUUGACGCUGAGGCGCGAAAGCCAGGGGAGCAAACGGG